GGUCUUCCUCGGCGGCUGCAGCUGACUGCUCCACGGAUGGAGCCUCCAACCUUCACAAAGCCAAGCACGCGACGAGAUCAGCAUCAUCCUCGCCUACUUCCUAUUCGUGGGAUUCCUCGUGGCUAUGGACAAAGGUGUUUCAAAUGUUCCAUGUGGCCUUGGCAUAUGGAACAAAUUCUGGGAAGUUCCACAACUUCUUGUAUCUCUGAAUGAAGUUUAUCGUCUUGAAUCUUCAGAAAACAACUCAAUAUUUGAAGUGCUACGAUAGACAUUCAUCCAGUGUCCUGUUGCAUGCCCACAUAUUCUCUCUCAGUUACUAACUUGUUUGGACAGACAGAUGAAUGACAGCCAGCCAUUGAAUUCCUCCUGGGAAGUUCUGUCACCGAUUGGAUCUCUGGAAGAAGAGUUUCUUCAUCUUGUGCUUUCAGAAAACACUUGUUAGCGCGCUCUGGAUACCAUCCUCCUGCCGAAAUGCAGAGGCUUUUAGGUAUAUUGAGCAUACUGCAGGAAACAAGACGAGAUGCCGGAGAUUCGAGGGCAUGGAUGGGUAGAAGAUGAUGUGGUUUUAAUCAACUUUGGGCCGUUUAUCCUUCUGGGGAGUUUUGAGACUGUGAUAUGCCAUAUUGAGCAGCUACGCGUAUCUCUAUAUACUUGUAGUUUGACUCAUAACAAUUUGGAUAAUUUUUGUCCUGUUCCUUGAACAAUUGUACACUUUGGCGCCAUCUAUAUACUUGUAGUUUAAGACUGGGAUAUGCCAUAUGAGCAGCUAUUCAUAAAUCUACAUCAUUGUAUUUUUUCAAUUAUGAUAUUUUGGAUAAUUGUGUCCUGUUUGUUGAAUAAUGGGUUGUAUAUGUGAUAGUUUUGACCAACAAGUGUAUGUGCUGCUUGGUUAUGGGAAG